AGCCACAUCGUGUCCUAAAGAAAAAUGAAACCUAACCUCUCUCGAGCUCUCUCAGUCGUGAAACCCCUCUCCCUCUCCCCCCUCCACGAAACCCCUUUCUCUCGUGAAACCUCUCUCAGUCACUCGAUCUCCUUGCUUCUAUUUUUUAUCCCCUGAAAUCCAAAUCUUCCUCAGCGAUGGAGGAGAUAGAGUGCCCUAGAUCCACUUUCUCUCUCCCAUCUCUCUCUUCUCCUCGCCUUCAAACUAGGAUGAAUUGAAAUAGAUGCAGAAGACGAAGCUAUCCGAGAUGGCGGAGGCGAACGCGAUGUGCUACGGCGCUGUGCUUCAAUGUCCUUAACCUCUUCACUCUCGACCGCCGCCACCACCUCCACACAAAGCUCCAAAACAAACCACCUCCAGUCCCCAAAGACACCCUGGACUUCCCCCUCACAGGUGAUGCCUUUAUCAGGGUAGUUUGUGAGCAAGCUUUUGAAUCUGCCAUUGCAUUAUGCAGCUGGUUUGAUAUUGGUUGCGUGCUGCCCCGGUGGAACAACAAGUAACAUUGUCACUUAUAUUGCACGGGAUAUGCAGCUCGGGAGUUUGCCAAGUAGGGGGUUAAGCCAGGCGAACUAGCAGUAAUUUCGAAAGAGGCGAAAUAUGAUGUUGACACAGCAGCAAAGGCAACUGUCCUUGGCAUCCAAGUUGGGUGUGGAUUCAGGCCUAAGAUUCCAUGUAGGAGAUGAAUCUAGAGCUAAUGCUACACAAGAUAAUGAACUUUUCCAUCAGAAUCCUCAAGCAUAUGCUGCACAAGAUGAAAAUUGGAUUGCUCGUAUUGCAGCAUUGCUUGUGGGUGAGGAUCGAACACAAUCUUGUAUAGCUUAUGAAAUUGGAAGGCUUAGUUCAAUGAAAUGUUUAAAUGCUUAUAAAAUUGUAUAUAGUGAAUCGAUUGGAGUUUGUUUUGAUGUAUCAAAGUUACUUUUAGCAUUAAUAUAAAAUUAUUGUUCAUUGGUAAUAA